UGCAUUGUAUGGUAUUGGCACUCAGCAGUUUAUUCAUGACAGUGUUCAAAGGACAGCACCAUAGAAAUUCAGUGUCUGGCACCAUUGGUUUUCUUGGCUUUGUACAUGUUAAACCUAGUAUUUCUAUUGAUAUAGUA
rnacentral:snoRNA from 1 species